rnacentral:rRNA from 1 species
UGGCUCAGGAUGAACGCUAGCGGCAGGCUUAACACAUGCAAGUCGAGGGGCAGCGGGAUGUAGCAAUACAUUGCCGGCGACCGGCGGAUGGGUGCGUAACGCGUAUGCAACCUACCUUAUACAGGGGAAUAACCUUUCGAAAGGGAGACUAACACCCCAUAGUAUUGAUUUAAGGCAUCUUAGAUUAAUUAAAUAUUUAUAGGUAUAAGAUGGGCAUGCGUAUGAUUAGCUAGUUGGUAAGGUAACGGCUUACCAAGGCGACGAUCAUUAGGGGUUCUGAGAGGAAGGUCCCCCACACUGGUACUGAGACACGGACCAGACUCCUACGGGAGGCAGCAGUGAGGAAUAUUGGUCAAUGGGCGCAAGCCUGAACCAGCCAUGCCGCGUGCAGGAAAGACGGCCUUAUGGGUUGUAAACUGCUUUUACAUAAGACUAACCGUAUAUUUGCGAAUAUACCUGAAUGUAUUAUGAGAAUAAGGAUCGGCUAACUCCGUGCCAGCCGCUGC